rnacentral:rRNA from 1 species
CCCUUAGACACUCUAGGCGGCACGCGCGCUACAAUGGGUGGAAGACCGUGUUACUGCCUUCGAAAGAAGGGGUGAAUCACGAAUUCUUACCCGUGAAUGGGAUAGUUUGUUGCAAUUUUCGGACUUGAACUAGGAAUCCCUUGUAAGCAUGCUCAAGAAUAGUGUGUUGAAUACGUCCCUGCCGUUUGUACACACCGCCCGUCGUUUCUUCCGACUGAUACUCAUUGUGAGUUGCAAGGACCCUUUAUUGGGAAAUUGCUGCGAAUGCUUUGUAUUGGAGGAAGAAAAAGUCGUAACA